UUAAAUUUAGGCGUUUAAUAAAGUUGAAAUGAAAAAAAAAAGAAGUCAUAUAUUAACAUGAGAGUAAAGAAUCAAAGCCAACAGUGCUUCCUGUCUGCAUCAUUUUCAUCUCUGCGAAAUUAAAGCGUUGCUCGGUGCGCGGCGCAUCUGCACAGUUACCUUUCUACACAUCACGAGUGGCGUGUUUGAGUGACACUAAUCCAGAACUGGAUAAAACGAUGGAAAUAAAGCCAGCGCACACUGACGCCCUUGACCUAAAUAUUUACAAGAUAACAAUGAUCAGGUGAGCAUUCUCUCUGUCAGCGGUGAGAAUGAUACUGAGGCACAUGUUUUCAGUGUGUGUGAGGGUGGAAAUGUACAAAAGUGGUUUCUUAAAUAUAAAAAAAGGAAAUCACAGCAUGAUCUGAUGAAAUGAUAUUAUCUUACAAGGGAAACAGUGAUCCAAUUUGGACCCAACUUGCUGUAACCAGUGCUUUGAGUGGGAAUAAGUUCAGCAUUUUUCCAUUUGAUGGCAUGUGUUUUAUAUGCAAAGUGUUAAAAAUAUGUUUUAAUUUCCGAAGUUUGUGGUUCAUGUCCUCUUUGUGCAUGUUUAGAGUCAGGCUAACAUAACUUGGUUGUCUUCCUUUUACUCUGAUUUCCCUCAUUUAUCCAAAACUCAAACUAAUUUGACUUCACCUGAGCAAGGAAAGGGUCCUGGCACUCAGGUAAGAAGUCCUGGUAUGCAGUGGUGCAGCACCCCUAAGUGUGCAGGUUUACAUUUACAAGUGUUUUUGCAGUAAUGGAUCCUGGUCAGCUUUGCCCCUUUUAUAAAAAGCUGCACGGAGAAGCAGCAGGUUAUAGCUCGGCUAAGUGGAAGAUUAAUAUCUGUGUGUUGUGUCUGCAAAUAGUACAAAAACCAGUGGAAAUAUUCCCCGAGGAGUGUGUGGUUAAACGGAGAUUAGCCCCCUGGUCGGAACUCUCAAAAUCGGCUAAUUUACAUCGUAGAGUUGACCCCAUCUGCAGCGAACUGUCAGCCUAACUAGCCUGAAGCUCCUUCAGGCAGUUUCUCAUUAAAGGAGCAUCCACUGUGGCAAAUACACUUACUUGUGGGAUGUAACUCAGACAGCCCCACUUAAAAAUGCUGAAAUAUCCCUUUAACACACGUUUGCUCUGUGUAAGUCGACUGAAUAACACAUAACCAAAGCUAAAGUCAUGUUGAGCCUCUCAUCGUGACUGAACAUGAAGUUAUAAACUGUGAGGGCGCACCUAGCAAAACGCUUCAGUCGGAAGCCAAUGGGGUGCAUGCACAUGGAUUAUUCUUGUUUGCACUAUGUUCAGUAUACGAGCCUGAGGACAUCACCGAGCGUUCACCCAGGGAACGCACAUAGAAUCUAUAAGGAGAGAGGAAAGCUGGAUACACAAAGGCACACAGCGGACUCACAGAGAGGCCAGCACUGCCCAUUAAGAUCACGAAUAGCAGGUCAUGCCUGGAGGCAUCAGACCGGAGGAGGACGAGACUGCAGUAAAAACGAUGCAUACUAUCGAAGGAUGCUUUGCUACCUUUACUGUUCAUUUCCUAGAAACCUUCUCACUGAGUCUGAUGGGUGAAGUUUGUGAGGAUGUGAUUGUAAAUUUGUUCAAUCAAGUGAGAAGCCAGAUUACUCAAACAGUUUCUCAUGUUGAGUAAAAGAUCCGUUAUGGUGCACUCUAGUGGAACUGCAUGUACGCCAGUAUGCUAGAAAAGUCCAGAGGGUUAAAAUCAGGAGUGGUCAUACCGUGCACCUGAGCGUACCGACCCACUUAAAGCACUGGUUUUGAGCAUGAAUGGGAACAGAUACAUUCCUAUAUACAAUACGCAAUACUAUCAAUCCAUUUAUACCCAUAACAAGUUUCAGACACAGCUUCAAACUGUCAAACAAAUUGAUCGGGACAGGAUUUAUUUGGCUAGUCCGUUUAAUUUCAUGUACCAGAAGCUCUGUGGUCAAGGUCUCGAGUUAAAGUCUUAAAGCCAACACUGAAUUAGCAGUCUUUGACAUGAUCCCCUGUGGGUAAGCAGAAAUAGCAAGUGAGGGGUCAAAGGGCAAUUGUUUUUAGCCUUGUAUUGGCAAUUGAAGCCAUCCAGCUGAGCACACUUGUUCAGUAAUGGGUAAAACAAGCACCUGUUGUGUUUCAGCAAUGAAGAAACCUUCAAUAAAAGUGUCAAACUCAGACUGCCUUCAUGUGUAAACCCAAAAUACGUGAAAAUUAAGAGUUUCUUUUUAUGUAAGUACAUGCUACAUAGAAAAACCAGCCUGUGCCAGUGAAGCUGUCAUCUGUUU